rnacentral:snRNA from 1 species
AUAUUAUUUUCUAUAAAAAAAAAAAAAAAAUCUGUUCUUAUCAGUUUAAUAUCUGAUAGGUCCCCAUCGUGGGACUACAUAUUAAAUGAUUUUUCGAACAGGUAGUACGGAAAGGGGCUUGCUCCCAUCGUACACGCAUCGACCCGGUAUUGCAGUAAUACUCCGGGAACGGUUGUGGCUUU